CCUACGGGAGGCAGCAGUAGGGAAUUUUGCACAAUGGGGGAAACCCUGAAGCAGCAACGCCGCGUGGAGGAUGAAGGUUUUCGGAUUGUAAACUCCUUUUGUUAGAGAAGAUAAUGACGGUAUCUAACGAAUAAGCACUGGCUAACUCCGUGCCAGCAGCCGCGGUAAUACGGAGGGGGCAAGCGUUACUCAGAAUCACUGGGCGUAAGGGGCGCGUAGGCGGGAUAGCAAGUCAGAUGUGAAAUCCUAUGGCUUAACCAUAGAACUGCAUUUGAAACUGGUAUUCUGGAGUAUGGGAGAGGUAGGUGGAAUUCUUGGUGUAGGGGUAAAAUGCGUAGAGAUAAAGAGGAAUACUCGUUGCGAAGGCGACCUGCUAGAACAUAACUGACGCUGAUGCGCGAAAGCGUGGGGAGCAAACAGGAUUAGAUACCCUAGUAGUC
rnacentral:rRNA from 1 species